AAGACUUUCUGACCGUCGGUCUACCGAGCAAUAUGACACGCUCGGUGGAAGAUCUUAGCUCCGUCGU
rfam:Bombyx mori DNA, contig: Bm_scaf33_contig20112, strain: p50T/Dazao, build 2, whole genome shotgun sequence.